GCCGGCUUGGUGGAAUGGUAGACACGAAGGACUCAAAAUCCUUUGCCCCUAAAAGCGUCUGAGUUCAAGUCUCAGAGCCGGUA
rnacentral:tRNA from 2 species